rnacentral:lncRNA from 1 species
AUGGGGACAGAAUCAGCAACUCUUUCCAGAAACAUAACGGUGAAUAAAUGGAAACAGAGAAGAGACAGUUGCCCAAGAAAUUUGCCUACCCUGCCCCACCCAAAGAAGCUGAUCUGUGUGAACUACAUCAACAGGCUCCCUUGCCUUCUGGCUCCUGGUGAAUUCUGCCACAACAACAAAAGAUUGGCGGGAUGGAGAAGAAUAAGAUUGUGGUGUGUAUUCCACUGGCUGAUGCUCUGUGCUGUUGCCUGGGGGUGAUUGUGUUUCUAAGUAAGAUCAGAGGGUCUUUCAAAGCAGCUCCUUCCAUAUAAUUCCCUCUUUCCAGCUUUGAUAAGCUCGCACUCCCUUUGCCAUCCAGGCCUAGGAAUAUUGAUAGCACUGCUGUAUUUCACUUUUGUUUGGGGUUUAUCUACAUUUUCCCCGCACUUUUGUAACCAGCCUCUUAUCCUUGAAUUAUUUUGAUUUGUGAAGAUCAUCUGUUUCCUGACGGGCCCUUGACUCAAUAAAAGUUGGAGUGCUUGAUCCAGCUAGCAUCCCCCUUCUAAGCCUGAGGAUUAUAGAUUUAGUAUUAAUAAAGUAGGUAAUGAGAUUAUCCUCCUUGUAGUUCCUUGUAAAUGGAGCAUCUGAUAGUGACCUUUUAUGCACAGAAUUUUUCUUUUUUUGAGACGGAGUUUCCCUCUUAUUACCCAGGCUGGAGUGCAAUGGCGCGAUCUCGGCUCACCACAACCUCCGCCUCCUGGGUUCAGGCAAUUCUCCUGCCUCAGCCUCCUGAGUACCUGGGAUUACAGGCACGUGCCACCAUGCCCAGCUAAUUUUUUGUAUUUUUAGUAGAGACGGGGUUUCACCAUGUUGACCGGGAUGGUCUCGAUCUCUUGACCUCGUGAUCCACCCGCCUCGGCCUCCCAAAGUGCUGGGAUUACAGGCUUGAGCCACUACGCCCGGCCCAGCCAAGUUAAAUGUAAAGGAGUUUAAUUGAGCAAUGAAUGAUUCACAAGUUGGGCAGCCUUCAGAAUUACAGCAGUUUCAGAGAGAUUCCAGGGAUGCCUCAUCGUCAGAACAAAUUUAUAGACUAAAACGGGGAGUGACGUAUAGAAAUCGGAAGUGAGGUACAGAAACAGCUGGAUUGGGUACAGGCUGGUGUUUGCCUUAUUUGAACAGUUUGAACACUUAGCAGAAAUUCAUAGAAAUCUCCACAGAAGACUUCCACAGCAAAUAUGAGAGAAAAACAUUUUCCAACAGUAAAUUUCAGAGAAAGACCUCACAUUUUUAGCAGGAGGAGGGUAAAGGGGCCAUUUUUAAAUAUACCACAACGUUCUGUUCUUAACAAAAUCUGUUCUCAGGGGAAACUAAAGAGCCUAACCUGCUGGAACUAUCAAGCCUAAUUAACCCGAGGGAAAGGAAAUACUCAACUCCAGCUGAUUCUAGCUAGAGAAAGUUCAUAAGUUAUCUUCAUCAUGUCUCAGCAAAGGAAAGAAAAAAUAAAACCUGAGAAUCAUGUGUAAAGUUCACAGUCCAGACGGACAGGCUCACUAUAAGACUGACACCUAAUCAUAAGACUAAGAAUGCAUCUCCUCCCCCAACACCUUAACCAAUACAGUACCAAAGGCCUAUUGAUGGCAGUUUCUUUUGCCCAGCACGUCGCGUCUAUCUAGACAGCAAGAAAAAUUACAAGACAUACUAAAUGGCAAAAUACAAAGUUUGAAGAGGCAGAGCAAGCGUCCCAACCAGACCUGGAUAAGGCAAGGAUGUUGAAAUGAUCAGACUCAGCAUUUAAACAACUGUGAUUCAUAUGCUAAGAGCUCUAAUGGAGGAGGUAGACAGCAUGCAACAACAGAUGGACAGUGUAAGCAGACAGAUGGAAAUCUUGAGAAAGUCCCCAAAAGAAAUGCAAACCAAAAACACUGUGAAAGAAGCGAAGAAUGUCUUUGAUGGGCUUCUUGGUAGACUGGAUAUAGCUGAGGAAACAAUCUGAG